rnacentral:rRNA from 1 species
UACGUAGGGGGCAAGCGUUGUCCGGAUUUAUUGGGCGUAAAGAGCGUGUAGGCGGCCAGAUAGGUCCGUUGUGAAAACUGGAGGCUUAACCUUCAGACGUCGAUGGAAACCAUCUGGCUAGAGUCCGGAAGAGGAGAAUGGAAUUCCUGGUGUAGCGGUGAAAUGCGCAGAUAUCAGGAAGAACACCCGUGGCGAAGGCGGUUCUCUGGGACGGUACUGACGCUGAGACGCGAAAGCGUGGGGAGCGAACAGGAUUAGAUACCCGGUAGUCC